rnacentral:rRNA from 1 species
CCUACGGGAGGCAGCAGUGUGGAAUAUUGGUCAGUGGACGAGAGUCUGAACCAGCCAAGUAGCGUGAAGGAUGACUGCCCUAUGGGUUGUAAACUUCUUUUAUAUGGGAAUAAAAUGUUCCACGUGUGGGAUUUUGUAUGUACCAUAUGAAUAAGGAUCGGCUAACUCCGUGCCAGCAGCCGCGGUAAUACGGAGGAUCCGAGCGUUAUCCGGAUUUAUUGGGUUUAAAGGGAGCGUAGGUGGAUUGUUAAGUCAGUUGUGAAAGUUUGCGGCUCAACCGUAAAAUUGCAGUUGAAACUGGCAGUCUUGAGUACAGUAGAGGUGGGCGGAAUUCGUGGUGUAGCGGUGAAAUGCUUAGAUAUCACGAAGAACUCCGAUUGCGAAGGCAGUUCACUGGACUGCAACUGACACUGAGGCUCGAAAGUGUGGGUAUCAAACAGGAUUAGAUACCCCUGUAGUC